GAUGAAGAACUUAGCGAAAUGCGAUACGUAAUGUGAAUUGCAGAAUUCAGUGAAUCAUCGAGUCUUUGAACGCACAUUGCGCCCAUUAGUAUUCUAGUGGGCAUGCCUGUUCGAGCGUCAUUAAGUCCACUUAAGCCCUGCUUAGUGUUGGGAGACUGCUCCAGCGGUGCUACCCUGUAGCUACCCUGCAGCUCCUCAAAGACAGCGGCGGAGUUGUGGUAUCCUCUGAGCUUAGUAACUUGUUCUAGCUUUCGAGUACACCACUUCCCCUGCCGUAAAACCCUUAAUUUUUAAUGGUUGACCUCGGAUCAGGUAGGAAUACCCGCUGAACUUAAGCAUAUCAAUAAGCGGAGGA
rnacentral:misc_RNA from 1 species